rnacentral:misc_RNA from 1 species
AUACAAUCCCUCAUCGUCAGAAAGCUCAUCAAAUGACCGGAUAUCUAGCUGGUAACGCAAGAUACCACCAAUGCCACCGAAUCCUCUACAAAACUGAGAUCCCUCUUGAGAUUUAUUAGUGACAAACUCAAGCGAGCAACCAAACUUCUUGUAUUCAUUAGCAAACCAUUCCAGAAGAGACAUUUUUUCCUGAACUUCCAACUCAGCAUUACUAGCCGGAUCACGGAAAUUACUCUGGUCAGCUUCCUGCUCUUUGUUAAAAUGUUUGAUCACAGUUUCACCAGAUGCACUGUUCUUAAGCACAUAUCUGUUGGUUUCAAG